rnacentral:rRNA from 1 species
AACGAACGCUGGCGGCACGCCUAACACAUGCAAGUCGAACGCCUGGUAGCAAUACCGGGAGUGGCGGACGGGUGAGUAACGCGUGGGAACCUGCCUUGUGGUGCGGGACAACCCCGGGAAACCGGGGCUAAUACCGCAUGAUCCCCCUGGCAACGGGGGGUAAAGAUUUAUCGCCAUGAGAGGGGCCCGCGUCGGAUUAGGUAGUUGGUGGGGUAACGGCCUACCAAGCCUUCGAUCCGUAGCUGGUCUGAGAGGANGGCCAGCCACACUGGGACUGAGACACGGCCCAGGCUCCUACGGGGAGGCAGCAGUGGGGAAUCUUGGACAAUGGGGGCAACCCUGAUCCAGCGAUGCCGCGUGGGU